AAAGAGACUUGUCACCGCCGCCGCGAGGUGCUCUCUGACACGUGCCCUGUGCAGACGCACGAGGAGCCGUUCGGCCCCGUUGUGCCUGGAACCGUGUCAAUUAGGGCGCUUCCGAGAGGUGCCCUGCUGCCCCGGGAGGCGCUGAGCCAGAAAAGCUGCGUCCUCAGCGGAGGCCCGAGUAGGUGUGUCCGUAUCUUGGGGUACGUUUAUAUUUCCUUUUCUGAUCGGCAUCACAGUGACAGCAGCUCACCGCGACCUCGUUCCCACCGGGCGCCGGGCGGCGUCCGUGCGGCCCGUGCAGGCGCGCUGCUCCCCCCGGGGCGGUGUCUGGCCGCCUCGUCCUCCCAGGGCGCGGUGGGGCCGCCUCGUCCCCCCAGACUCGGUGGGGCCGCCUCGUUCCCCCGGGGCGCCGUGGGGCGCGGCCCGUGGAGAGGCCCCGGCCGCCGCACCGUCCGCUCUGCGCCCCGCUGCCCUCGGGGGAGGAGGGCGGGGAGACGGGGGCGACCCCGACUUUCCACUCCCCGCCUCUCUGGACUGUUUGAAAUGUGUCUUCCCGUCCCCCUCCCUCCCUCCCUUCCUUCCUCCCUCCCUCCCUUCCUUUCUUCUUCACUCCACUUCUAUCGACACGAUGCACCUGAACGGUUUGCAAAGACCCGCUGCGCCGCCCCGAAGCGCGGCCUGGGCGCCCCUGCUGCGCCCCUGCUCCCGAGGGCCGGCGCGUGUGCUCGGUGCACCGCCGCCCCCGAGCUGCGGCCAGAACAGCGGCAGGUGCGGGAGGCUCUGUCUGCGCCCCCUUCUCCGCCUGAGGACGGGGCCCCCCAGAGCAGCUCGUGCGCACAGAUCCCCUCCCGGGAGCCCCGCCAGCCAGGUGACUGGCUCUCGUCGCAGGAGAGGAGACUAGGACUUGACACCAAACUACGUCACAAGCUGUCACCUCCCAGCUGUCCUUCCAAGGCCCGGUCGUCUUUCCUAAAAUCCACUUGCUCUCCGCUGAGGCCUGCGUUCCCGUGCCCUUCCCCGGUUAACGCACUAUAG
rnacentral:lncRNA from 1 species